rnacentral:misc_RNA from 1 species
AAGUCGUAACAAGGUUUCCGUAGGUGAACCUGCGGAAGGAUCAUUACAAAUCAUUGGGGGCACUUUGGUGCCUCUGUAAGCACAGCCGUGUAAAAGCGGUUGAUGUUGACGCUUGUUCAGUUUGACAUAGUAAGGGUAAACUUUAAGUAUUAUACAACUUUUAACAAUGGAUCUCUUGGCUCUU